GACGGCUAUAUCGCUGCAUAGGAGAGUGUGUGACUUUUGGAAAACGGCUGAUUGGAUCUCUGAAAGUAUUUAAGGAAGGGGCGACCGAAACUAAGCACCCCCACGUCCCCUGAAGGGCCAACGAUGAUGAGGGGAUUAUUCAGGAGAUAAACUGUUGAAGAUACGAGUGGAGAGUUUUGCCACGAGCAGAAUUUAGAGAGGACAUCGUGUGUUGAGACAGGAAGAAAGCAUUCGUGAUGCAUGAUGUGACGACUGUAUUUCCUGUGAUAGAAUGCUGGAAGCGCUGAUUUCACCUCAGGAGAAAACAAUUUACCAGAUGACCUGAACAAAGGCGGCAGUGUAUUCUGAGGGUGCAUUUCAGGGAAAAUGAGGUGGUUCUCAAGAAGGAAACCGUUUUCCAGCUCAACAGGCUGCUAGCCACACUCAGCAACAACGAAGCAACCAGAGAAAUCCCACUCUGGUUCACAUGUCUUACAGUGGACCAGGAAGUAUCCAUACCCCUGAAAUCAAAAGCUACCACGUAGUUUACUGGUGUUUUCUGCUUCAGAGUAGAAAGAAAAGAAUAACUGGAGGAGCUGCAUGGGUUCACAGCUCAGGUUUGAGACUCAUUCAAUAGGACAGAAGAAAGAAAUUUUUAAAAAAAGUUAAUAAGCUUUAAAUCUGAUCAGAUGAGAACAAGACUGAACUUCUGACCUAAAUUCAAAAGAUUGUGCAUGUGGCAAGAUAUAUGGAGGUAAAUAUAGAACCGCCUUGGAGGAAAAGCUGUCAGAUGCACAAAAAUCUAAGAUUGGGGCAAACAUUCAAUGGAACAGUUCGCGUCAAAGCAAAUAGCAUGGUCUAGUCAAAGUCCACCACUAAACAUCUGUGGCAAAACUUUGAAAUUGGUGCCUGCAAAUUACCUCCAUUUUACUUGACUGAGCUUGAGAUGUUUGUUAUGAUUAAAAGUUCCCAUUUGUUGAUGUUUAACCCAAAGUGCUAACAACAGUAGUUGGAGCCACGCUUGGUUCUAUGACCUUAGAGGGAUUUUGAAAUUUAUAAUAAUAUAUAUCUGUCGAAAACAAUGAUCUUUUCGUUUGGUAGACUUCACAAGAAAAUAUUAGCUUUUUAAAUUACAAAUGUAUUUUUACGCCUAUCUGACUUUUGUUAACCACAUAUUUCUUGAAGAGGUUAACUUAUAUUUUUAUAGCGUUUCGAUGUUGUAGUUUAUGCUCCUUUCUCUCUUUUGUAUUUUUUGAUAUCACAAAUCAAAUACUGCUGGACUCUGCAAAAAUUAAUUUAUCAUAAAAUUAAAUCCUGUUAAUUUCUUUUA